AACGACAGAAGAUUAUCAAAAGCUUGGACUUGAAGGAAAACCAUCCGUUUUUGAUAGAAAGUUAUCUACACGUUACUGUAAGUAAUAAAUUUGACGUCAAUAGGAAAAAUAAUACAUACAAGAAAACAAAAUGCCACGGAAGCAUCAAGUGCCUGUUUUGCAAGAGCUUGCACUUUGUUCCAUUGGCACAUAUAUUACUACAUUUGGCAGAGCAAUGAUCAAACCAAUCUGCGAUAUAUCGCAAAAGAAUCCAGCACGUGGACUUAAAACCCUACGAUCUCUAUUAGAAUCAAUGAAGCAGAAUUUAAGCUCAAAUGUUCCAUGGCACCUGUAUAAUGACAUGGCUAUCAAAGUAUUACAAGCAAUAAUGGACCUAAUCAAUGAAACAAAGAAUUCUUAUUGUGACUUUGAACCCAUUGGGGUCUUCCUAUCUGAAGUCAAUGUAGUUGUGAAUCUUGUAGAAGUUGUAAUCCAUCCAAAUUUAAGGACAAUAGAAUUUUCUAUGUGGCCUAAAAUUAUGAGACACGUUUUAUACCGUAAUUUAUAUAAUAUGUCAGGUUUAGAAGUGCUUGAUCUUGGUUCGGGUUCUGCUGGAUGGCGAACUUCUGACAUAGAAAAAUUAAUAAUCAAUGGAGUAUCAAAUAUGCCAAAUUUAACAUCAUUUACUCUCUGUUUCGACUGCACUGAUAAGAUUGUAGCAGCUGUUGGUCAAAAUUGUCCUAAAUUACGGACAUUAGACAUUACCGCAUCAAGGUCUGUAACUGAUAGAAGCAUUAAUUUUCUUAUGAAAUGUUAUAAGCUUCGAGAAGUGAAGCUUUAUCGUACUUCCAUCACCGUAAAUGGUUAUGCAGAUUUAUUACUAGGAUUAUCUUGGCUAGAAAGUAUUGGAAGAUGUGAUGAAAUUGGAGAUAUUUUAGAGAAUAUUUAUAAUCGUGAAAGUGAUUCAAAGACCUGUCUCUAUUUGAGAGCAUUUGAAAGCAGAAAUAUGAUGACAGGAUAUUUAUUUCUAUUAAUAACCAUGUGUCCUUUCAUCACAAGUCUUUCUAUCAUGUGCCCAGAGGGAAUUGAAAACUUAUCUAUUCUAGCUGUACUAGAAAAUUUAGUUGAACUAAAAUUAUUAUCAUUCAAGUUUUAUGCUGAUGGCAUUGGAGUGUUACUGGAUUUAACGCAAUCUAGAAUCACUAGCCUGCAUUUGGAGCAUGUUCAUGAGAUUGAUCGGAGUGCUCUUGUUUAUAUUAGUCAAUAUUGCCCAAAGCUAAAGAAUCUUACGUUUUAUAACUGUAGUUUUCUAGACCAGACUUCUGUUCAUUUAUCAAAAUAUCUGGUUCCACCUUUCAAGUAUUUGCAACGGCUGAAAUGCGUUGUUGAUUGUGCUAAUGCCCAUCUAGAGUUUUUGCUCUCGCAUUGCUCAGAUAUUAGAUUCAUCCAAUUGGGAUCAUCCACUGGGAUUGAUGAUAUGACAAUGAAGAGAGUGCUUAAUCAAAAUAAAAUGACUAAAUUAGAAGAGCUUAAGAUUCUUUAUAGUAGUGAUUUGUCAAUGAGGACUGUAAGACUGUUAAUGCAAAAUUGUGAAAAUUUAAGACGAUUGUCUGAAUUAGAAAGUUGGAAUGGUAUAAGUUUAGAAGAAUUGAUUGAAUUUCGAAAAGAAUUAAGAAUUAACAAUGUUAAUUUAGAUACAAGCCCAACUUUGUCUCUUGCUUAAUAGUUUUUUAAAAUUCAAUGUAAGGAAAGAAGACUUUGAACAUAAGAAAAAAUCCAAUGAGAUAUAUUUUUAGGGAAAAGAUAAAUAAAUAAUUUUAUUUUUGCACUUUUUCAAUAUUUGCUGCGUAAUUAUUAUACAUUUUACAACUGCAAUUCACUUUUAGUCUGAGGUGCCAUGGUAUUACAAGUAAUAUUCCAACGAACUACAACGUAUUCCAAAAAUAGACUAUUUUUGUAUAAGAUUUGUGAUUUUUUACAAAUUUUUGGUCUGUGAUGAAUGGACAUGGCUCAAUCUUCCAUGCAAAGAAUAGUAUCCACUGCGUAUGAAUUUCCUAUGCAAUUGAAAAAUAUUCAAUAUCAUAGUAAUAAUAAUAACCAUACUAAUGAUUAAUAAUAUAGUAAUUGUAAAUUGUAUUAAAUGUAGCUGAAAUCAAAAAGAUUAUUGGAUUUAAUAUGAUCAUAUUUUAUUAAUUCUCUCUCCAAUAUUUUUUCUCGAUUUUUUCAUAUAAACAAAAGUGGUCACAAUUGAUUUAAAAGAGGAGACAUUCACACCAGGAAAGAAAAAGUAUGAAAGAGUUAAGAAAUGUUUGACAGAAAAUUUGCAUCAAAAAUUUAAUGUCAUUUUUGCUUGGGAACCUCCUGACGAAAAAUUGUGUCCUUCAUC
rnacentral:misc_RNA from 1 species